AACGAACGCUGGCGGCAGGCCUAACACAUGCAAGUCGAGCGAGGACUUCGGUCCUAGCGGCGGACGGGUGAGUAACGCGUGGGAACGUGCCCUUUGCUUCGGAAUAGCCCUGGGAAACUGGGAGUAAUACCGGAUGAGCCCUUUGGGGGAAAGAUUUAUCGGCGAAGGAUCGGCCCGCGUUGGAUUAGGUAGUUGGUGGGGUAAUGGCCUACCAAGGCGACGAUCCAUAGCUGGUUUGAGAGGAUGAUCAGCCACACUGGGAAUGAGACACGGCCCAGACUCCUACGGGAGGGAGCAGUGGGGAAUCCUAGACAAUGGGGGAAACCCUGAUAUAGCCAUGCCGCGUGAGCCAUGAAGGCCUUAGGGUUGUAAAGCUCUUUCAGCUGGGAAGAUAAUGACGGUACCAGCAGAAGAAGCCCCGGCUAACUCCGUG
rnacentral:rRNA from 1 species